AGCUUGCUCCUGAUUAGCUUAGCGGCGGACGGGUGAGUAACACGUAGGCAACCUGCCCGUAAGACUGGGAUAACUACCGGAAACGGUAGCUAAUACCGGAUACGCAAAUUCCUCGCAUGGGGGAUUUGGGAAAGGCGGAGCAAUCUGUCACUUACGGAUGGGCCUGCGGCGCAUUAGCUAGUUGGUGAGGUAACGGCUCACCAAGGCGACGAUGCGUAGCCGACCUGAGAGGGUGAACGGCCACACUGGGACUGAGACACGGCCCAGACUCCUACGGGAGGCAGCAGUAGGGAAUCUUCCGCAAUGGACGAAAGUCUGACGGAGCAACGCCGCGUGAGUGAUGAAGGUUUUCGGAUCGUAAAGCUCUGUUGCCAGGGAAGAACGUCCUCUAGAGUAACUGCUAGGGGAGUGACGGUACCUGAGAAGAAAGCCCCGGCUAACUACGUGCCAGCAGCCGCGGUAAUACGUAGGG
rnacentral:rRNA from 1 species